rnacentral:rRNA from 1 species
AACAGCGGAGGGAUCAUUA